rnacentral:tRNA from 1 species
GCUGGCUGAAAACGCUAUGCGGCUCGCCUUGUAAGCGGAAGGUCGUCAGUUCGAUUCUGACAGCCGGCACCA